rnacentral:misc_RNA from 1 species
AAGUCGUAACAAGGUCGAAGGCCUUGCCCCACGGCUUUGCAGUCUGCCCCGGGGAAGCCUCCGCGACCCCGGGCGGGCGAGGACCGUGUCUCGCUGGGAGCUCACCUGCAACCAGCGGCCGCCCCGCGCGGUUCACAGACUAAGUGCGGUCCGAGUCCCCUCGGGGACUAGUGAUAUAGUCGGGAUUGCCGUGGACGCCCCACGGUAUUACCUCCGUUUCGUAGGUGAACCUGCGAAAGGAUCAUUACCGAGUCGAGGGUCUAACCGGCCCGAGCCUCCCAACCCCGUGUCUUCAGACCCCAUUGUUGCUUUGGUGGGCCGUGGUCCCCGGGCCCCCGCGGAGCUUGCUCGGCGGGCCCGCCAAAGGUCUCCCUAAACGCGUCCGCAACCAGGCUCCCCCGGGAGCUGUCUGAAACGUUGGCAAGCACAAAUCGAACCCAAAACUUUCAACAACGGAUCUCUUGGUUCUG